AUUGCCCCUUGAGGCGUUGCAGUCCGACGUCUUUUGGUCGAUACUGUGUCAUAAGGGGCAUAUAGAAAAGGUCUAUGAUGUCUACACUUGGCACCUGUAAUGCCAUGGGUGCCUAGUUUGAUCCAUAGACGCAACA